rnacentral:lncRNA from 1 species
CGGGCUGAGUCGGGGCCGGUGGACGAGGCCUGGCCCGCAGAGGCCGCUGUGUCUCUGCACACAACGGCUGUCCAGGCCGGAGCAGCCAUAGUGUAGCCUGGAGCCCCCCCACCGCUCCCAGGGAGGGGAGGGGCCGCCUGAGAUCCCUCAGGAAAGACUGGAUUCCAGGAGGCCUGACCCUCCGAGGGGAACUCGUGUGCUGCCCGCCUGCUUCCUGCCGGGGACCGUCGGCCACUGAGCCUUCCAGGACCGGAGCUGCAGGGGUGACGCAGCCAAGUGACCCUCAACGUCUUCCCAGCCCAGGACCCUGCACUGGGCACGCGAAGCCUCGUCUGUGGCCCCAGCAACAGGAGCAGGACUGGGAUGAGGAGGGCCAGGGGUGGCAGGAAGGCCCCGGCCCCACAAGCAGCGCCUGCAGUCACCCACCUCCGGGCCAGCCCACAGUCCCUCCACCUCAUCUUCCGCCGUCCCAUCGCCUGCCAGCUCGUCAUUCAGCGUGGAUUUCCUGAGCCACCCCCAGGCACCAGCACCAUGGCUCAGGCGAUGUGCAGACAACAAAGAAAGAAUCACGCACUCACUCCCUGUCAAGUCCUCCCGGGCGCCUGGACUCAGCCGUGGGCCCCAGCCCUCACUCCCCAGGCCAGCUGGGGGCAGACCCAGGUCCUGGGGAUCCCAUGAAGCUCAGAGGUCCCCGACUUCACACCAGCAGGUCACCCAGGAAACCAAAGGAUCAGGAAUACGGAGACUUGCACGGAGUAAAGCUCACAGUCCGGAGCCUGAAUCCGCCGGCGGCGCAACAGGGGCCAGUUCAGAGCAGGCUGGUCUCGUCUCCUCCGGCCACCGCCCUCCCUCCCGGUCACUUGCAGGCAAUCCCCUGACUCCGCGUCGUCUGCCCCGGAGCCUCAGUACACAGGGCAUGUGGGGCCUCGGUGACCCUGAGGUCCAGUGCGUGCCCAGGAGGAAGGGCAAGCACUCAACUCUGUCCCUUUCUGAUUUAUUUUAUUCCUUUUCAGAAUAAUGAGCCCUAGCCUCCGACCAAGGCCCAGUGAGAAUUCUGUAGUAUUCUUUUAAAUAAAAUGGAUUUUAAAGAUAUUUGGUAUAUUUUA